GUGAACAUAGUUUAUCAAAAUUCUAGUUUGUGAAUCUAGAGAUGAGGACUAAUCCCCUCUGUUCACC
rnacentral:tRNA from 1 species